rnacentral:rRNA from 1 species
CCUUGUACACACCGCCCGUCAAGCCAUGAGAGUCGGGAGGACCUGAAGCCAGUUGCUGUGAGGCGCUGUUUAGGGCUAAACCGAUGAUUAGGGCU